GAUGAACGCUGGCGGCGUGCCUAAUACAUGCAAGUCGAGCGAACAGACGAGGAGCUUGCUCCUCUGACGUUAGCGGCGGACGGGUGAGUAACACGUGGAUAACCUACCUAUAAGACUGGGAUAACUUCGGGAAACCGGAGCUAAUACCGGAUAAUAUAUUGAACCGCAUGGUUCAAUAGUGAAAGACGGUUUUGCUGUCACUUAUAGAUGGAUCCGCGCCGCAUUAGCUAGUUGGUAAGGUAACGGCUUACCAAGGCAACGAUGCGUAGCCGACCUGAGAGGGUGAUCGGCCACACUGGAACUGAGACACGGUCCAGACUCCUACGGGAGGCAGCAGUAGGGAAUCAUCCGCAAUGGGCGGAAGCCUGACGGAGCAACGCCGCGUGAGUGGUGAAGGUCUUCGGAUCGUAAAACUCUGUUAUUAGGGAAGAACAAAUGUGUAAGUAACUAUGCACGUCUUGACGGUACCUAAUCAGAAAGCCACGGCUAACUACGUG
rnacentral:rRNA from 1 species